GACGAACGCUGGCGGCGUGCUUAACACAUGCAAGUCGAACGGAAAGGCCCUGCUUUUGUGGGGUGCUCGAGUGGCGAACGGGUGAGUAACACGUGAGUAACCUGCCCUUGACUUUGGGAUAACUUCAGGAAACUGGGGCUAAUACCGGAUAGGAGCUCCUGCUGCAUGGUGGGGGUUGGAAAGUUUCGGCGGUUGGGGAUGGACUCGCGGCUUAUCAGCUUGUUGGUGGGGUAGUGGCUUACCAAGGCUUUGACGGGUAGCCGGCCUGAGAGGGUGACCGGCCACAUUGGAACUGAGAUACGGCCCAGACUCCUACGGGAGGCAGCAGUGGGGAAUAUUGCACAAUGGGCGGAAGCCUGAUGCAGCAACGCCGCGUGCGGGAUGACGGCGUUCGGGUUGUAAACCGCUUUCGCCUGUGACGAAGCGUGAGUGACGGUAAUGGGUAAAGAAGCACCGGCUAACUACGU
rnacentral:rRNA from 1 species